CCCGCUCAGAAACUCAAAGGAUUGACGGGGGCCCGCACAAGCGGUGGAGCAUGUGGUUUAAUUCGAUGAUACGCGAGGAACCUUACCUGGGCUCAAAUGUAUGUUGACGUAUUCUGAAAGGGAUACUUCUUCGGACAAUAUACAAGGUGCUGCAUGGUUGUCGUCAGCUCGUGCCGUGAGGUGUCGGGUUAAGUCCCAUAACGAGCGCAACCCCUAUCAUUAGUUGCCAUCAGGUCAAGCUGGGGACUCUAAUGAAACUGCCUACGCAAGUAGUGAGGAAGGUGGGGAUGACGUCAAAUCAGCACGGCCCUUACGUCCAGGGCUACACACGUGCUACAAUGGCCGGUACAAAGGGCAGCUACCUGGUGACAGGAUGCUAAUCUCAAAAGCCGGUCUCAGUUCGGAUCGGAGUCUGCAACCCGACUCCAUGAAGUUGGAAUCGCUAGUAAUCGCGCAUCAGCAUGGCGCGGUGAAUACGUUCCCGGGCCUU
rnacentral:rRNA from 1 species